AAAAACACAACAACUUCUCCAAUCAUAAAAUACUGCUCCUUCUAUAUUGAUUGUGCUUUGGCAACCAGAUGCAGUGCUAGGCUUUACUCUGCAAGGUGUUUAAAUAGAAAUACAGGUUUAUCCAGGAUUUAUCAUAAGUGGAAAUAUGUAUUAUCUAAGUAGGCUGCCUGCUAAUGUCUGCUAUAGUCUUUUCUUCGCGGUGGUUAACCCUUUUUCAGGGAGUGGAAUGCAAAGAGCCUCUGUCUAGCUGUGAACUCUGCUCCAAGGGACAUUACAAGACUGGUCUGAGAUAAAGGCAAUUGAACAAGCACCUGUCAAUUACGAAGCAUCACCUUUACAGAAAGUCCUCUCCACCUUUCCAUCAAGAGAACCUUUAGCAGUAAAAGGCCAAGAGUUUCAGACAAUCUUCCAGCAUCAUAUCAGAAUUAUUAUCGCCUGUAAACCACUAAUUAUUCCGAUUAUCAUACAAGCGCAGAUCAUGACAUCUUCCAAUUGUAAAAGGAC